CCCGCCUCGCCCGUCCCGCUCGCCGUCUUCUCUCCCCUUCCCAGCCGCGCGCCCCGCCGCAUUGCCGCCGCUCCUCCUGCGGUCGCUCGUCCCUCCUCCUCCACCCAACCCCUAACCCUAGCAGCUCCCGCCGUCAACGCCGUCUACUUCGCCCAGCCUGCCGGACCGCCUCCGUCCACUUCCCCGGCGUCGUCGCGGUCGUCCUCGCCUGCACACGGCAAGAGGAGCGCCCCCACCCUCUCCUCUCCUCCUCCCCUCAUCACGAGCCAGGACAGGGAGGGCCACCAUGGCCGGGCAGGUCAGGCGGCGCGUCUAGAUCACCGAGGAUCCGCCCGCAAGGUCCACGGGGUGCAGCCUUGCAGGGGCGCAUCGGGCUGGGCCUCCUCUAUUUCAGAUGAGUUCAUUCCCAUCCUCCUCCUCCUCCUCUCUGAUCUACUUUACCUCUCACCCUCUACUGUUCUUCCUUCUCUCUCAGAUUUGGUGCAGCAGUCGCUGUCUGUCAAGUUCUUGGUGGAGAUGCAGCUGAUGCUCAAAGCGAUUCAUCAGGGAGGACCCCCGCUAGUAGAGAGAUGGCUUCUGUCCAAAGGCUUAGGUAUUAUUAUUGAAAUACAAGAUAAUGUUGUUGGUCUUCCCAGAAUGAAAAAAGUGUUUUUGACACUGCCAUCGAAGGGGUCUUCAGCGCUUUAACCACUGAAGAAAGGCCAUCCAUGGUUUAUGGCAGGAGACCUGAAGAAGAACAAGCAACUUUAUCUAAAAAUGGAAGAGCUAGCUAGCACCAUAGAGCCCCAGUCCACCUCCAAGAUCAAGUUCUAUACGCAAUUCACCGAUAGUGAAAGUAGAGGAAUAUGAAGCAGUAAAUAUAAUGUUGGUCCAUAGAGCCCUACUUUUUCAUUCGUUCACUGGAAGAAAUGGUAUUGUGUGCCUUGCUUGGAUAGGCUCUCCCAUCCCUGAUGGUCUAGACUUGGGUGAUCGCUCAGGGAUGAAAAUAAAGGCUAACUACAAUAGCAUGUCUUACAAAAACAUUUGUCAUGUUGUGAAUAUGACUGCUAUGUUUUUAAACAGGAAGAAUUUUGUAGUUUCAGACUGGCAUCAAAGCCGAGGUUGGAGCGGUGAUAGCGGCUGCAGUGGGACGGACGGUAGCAACAAUAAGAAAUUCCUCAUCCAUGCCUCCAACAAAAAGGGUCAUCUGGUGACGAACACCUCCUCCUUCUCUUCUCUGGCCCUAUGCUACCAUCGCUUGAGAUGAUAGUAGUGCGAGCUAUUCACAAGCUCUAUCGAGACAUGGAACCGAAGCCGUGAGGCUGACAUCAUCAUUUUGUCAGACUAAGUGUGGAGUUGCAAGUUUGUAAGUGGCUUUGGAAUCCUGUUCACUGUUGGAAACUGCUGGACCUUGCUGUUGUUGUUUGGUUCAUAAGGUACGCUCUUGAGCAAUCGAGCAAGCUGCUUAGCUUUUGAUAUAUUCCUUUUUGCCAAACUUGAUGUGUCGAGCUUUGAGCUACAAACUUGAUGGAAUGUGCUUGGCCAUGGAAGAGGGGGUGGCACUAUCUUUCCUCCUUCAGAUCAGGGUGUUCCUCCUGCUGUGAUUGAGUCUGGUGUUUUUCCUCGCUUGUGGAGCUUCUCUUGUUCCCGUCGACUUCUAUUCUCAUUGCAGCUCUGCGCAUGGUGGGUAACAUUGCCACUGGUGAUGAUUUGCAGACUCGGGUUCGUGUGAGGCAGGUCCCUGUGAAGUAUAUCGACAAGGCAGAUGAAUUACGCCACUUGUUAGUAUGCUUAAUGAUUAUGUCUCCGUAGUUGGCUCUUCUUAUGUGUUCUCGCUUUUGUAUCGAACUUCGUGUUGAAUGGUCGUCUUUUAUGGUCGGAUGAACGCACCGAGUUUGACCCUGUAUAUAAUCUGAUGUUGAUCUUGAGAUCCACUGUGUUUUACUUCUGUCGCAAUUGAAUGUUUCUUUACUUCAUUAUCAUCAUGCACAAGUACAAA